rnacentral:rRNA from 1 species
GUGUGGGGGAGCUGCCUCUUCCGUGCCGCAGUUAACACAAUAAGUAAUCCACCUGGAGAGUACGGCCGCAAGGUAGAAACUCAAAGGAAUUGACGGGGGCCCGCACAAGCAGUGGAGUAUGUGGUUUAAUUCGAAGCAACGCGAAGAACCUUACCAGGUCUUGACAUCGAGUGACGAAUGUAGAGAUACAUUCUUCCUUCGGGACACGAAGACAGGUGGUGCAUGGUUGUCGUCAGCUCGUGUCGUGAGAUGUUGGGUUAAGUCCCGCAACGAGCGCAACCCUUAUCAUUAGUUGCUAAGCAAGAGCACUCUAAUGAGACUGCCGUUGACAAAACGGAGGAAGGUGGGGAUGACGUCAAAUCAUCAUGCCCCUUAUGACCUGGGCUACACACGUACUACAAUGGCCGUCAACAGAGGGAAGCAAAGCCGCGAGGUGGAGCAAACCCCUAAAAACGGUCCCAGUUCAGAUUGCAGGCUGCAACUCGCCUGCAUGAAGUUGGAAUGCUAGAAUC